UAGAAGGGCACGUCUUCUCCAAAUGUUUGAGAACAUAUUGUGAGCUUUGGAUAGAGCAAAUCUGAGUCCAGCCUCAUGAUAGUCAGAAAACACAAAGAAAAACAAAUGUAUUGGUGGCUGCAUAUUUUAAACGAUGAAAAUUUAGCCCAGAUAAAAAUCAAUCAACUCUGCUUUCUCUUGGUCCUUACGUUUCCUGUUGCAUAAAGGGGAUAGUGGGGUAGGAGGGAAGAUGGGACUACAGCAUAGAGGUAAAAUUCUUCUCAGUAUCGUAGAAUGGACCAGAAAGAAUGUGGUAGCCUCUUCCCCAAAUCUGUCAGGGGCACCACAGUGCGGCUCCAGACUUAGGUUAUUUACAGGCUUGGGUUUCCUAUUAGUGAGCACACCAAACACCAAAAUGAACUCGAAGGGAGGUUAUAAAAUUAUAUUUCCCUGAUAUCGUUUAAAAACAAGAUGAAAGCAUCUAGUAAUGGCUGACUUUAUUAAGAACUUAUUUGGUAAACAACAUUCAUAGUAAGUGAAAAAGAAAAAUCUCUCUCCUCACUUGACGUUUCAGCUCUCACCUCAGAAAGAAAUCACUGUCUACAUUUUCUACUCCAUGCAAAAGAAUUAAGUGGCAGAAAAUUAUUGGUGUAUUUUAAAGAUUCAAGAGCUCAAAGCAAGAAAAUAUUACAGGCACAGCAAAGAGAUGUUAAUAAAGAAACGCAUUAAAAAAAAAGCUUAUUCGAAAACUAGAGAUUGACUAGAUCUUCUAUAAGGAAGUACCUUUUUGUUUUUUUCUUGUCCUUGUUUUCGUUUGCGGUUUAUUUGCUUUUUAAUUUCCAAUCUAUUGUGGACCGAUGUUUUUGUAAAAUGCAAUGUAAAUGAAUUAAUAAAUUUUAAAAGACAGAGUUCAAGUCCAAAUUUAUUAAUAUUAGAUUCAACAGAUAUAAAGUGAUUCCAUUUUUUAUAUGUAGUUGUUAUAACAGCUUAUAAGUAUUUCUUUCCAAUUUCUGUACCGACCUCCGCGCAGAAUCCUAAGAGGCUGGGAUGGCGACCCAGGGUUCCUGGCGCCAUGCAGAUGCCCAGCCCAUGAAGCGAGGAGUCGGGGGUGGGUGGCUGGGAGGGGUCCAGUUUGCUUCAAGCCUGCGCAGCCCUUUCCCGCCUUUUGGCCUCCUGAGGCCCCACUCCACACAGCUUUUCUUUUCUUUUCUUUUCCUUUUCUUUUUAUGUUUAAUUUCAGAAUUUUAUUGACUCAGCUUUCUGACUGGAUCCCUUCCUCCGCUCGCUCAGCCUCUGGACAAGGCUCAGUUGCACUGUGACACUGAAGGGCUAGGGAGUCUCAGGGGAGGCAAGCGUCCUUGAGCAUUGCAGCUAUGGACCGUGUGAACCUGACUCCUUACUCCUGGGAGGAGGGGCCUCCAACACUCCAGGUACCCAGGUGAUUCUCAUUCUGGGACUCCCAUAAGCCCAUGUGGAAUUCCCGAGACUUCUGGGAAGAAUGAUCGGGGCUGCAACGCCUGGGCAUGAUUCAGCCAUGCUGGGAGCCUCCCAUGAUGCUCAGUACAAGCCAGCCCAUCCCAGCCCUUCCGGUCCAUUAGGACCCACACACAGCGAAAGUCACGGAGCACGCCCAGUAGGCUCUUGCUGCAACCUGCUUGCAAAAAAAGUGCGGCUCCUCAAACCCCACUUCGAGUACAGCUGGACCAGGUGAAUGGCUGCAGCAUAUCAGAACUUUGGCUUAGGAAUAGAAGGAGAUUUGAACUGAUCGUCCCUCUAUAAAAAUGCAUGGGAAUACUCGUCUGUGAAGAGAGGGAGAUUUGCAAACUCAUCAGAUGGAGACAGUGUACAAAAGAAGCAGGCAGAUUUAGAUUUCAUUCUGCCUCUGGUCAGUUUUGAAACUCAGAAGGCUUCCCCUUGUGUGCUCUGUGGAUCCCAGCAAGCUACGUUUGACACAUACUGACACACACACAAGUUAGCACCUGAUUCUAGCUGCCAGCCAAUAAAACAUCUUCAUUUCUUAGGAGAAAAUUGUUUCAUUAUAAAAUGGCUUGUGGGAACAAAUUGUCUUCCAGCUUUUUUGCGUUUUUUACACACACAGAACAAAUGAUCAGGCCAUUCAAGCUUCUAAAGUAUUUGAGCAAAAUCACCAGGUGGCAGAAAUCAGCUCCAGAGCAGCCUGGUCACUGGAGAGCACUUUGUAUGAGGAGCUGUAUAUGCAUGGACCCUGAUGCCAGCCAACCAUUUCCCUGAGCUCAGAAGUGCAGGCAUCAACAGGUAAUCAAUCUCCAGGUCAAAUAUGCUAGACUUCUCAUAGCUGCAUGGAUGAGUGUUGUCUUGGGGAGCAGCUGUGUCCCCAUGGAAAUAACAGAUACUAGCCACCAGUCAGGUCUUUCAGUUCCAGAACAGAUGUCAGCACAGUGGUAGAGUCAUCUUUGUGUUUUGCUUCCCUCUUCCAAGUAUGACUGAGGCACUGGUGCCUCUCACUCUGCUGUGGACCAUGAGGCAACAUGAUGCUUCCAGCCACUCUCAUUUGGAGGAGGCAGAAUCCACUUUGGAGCAAUAAUGAUCUAUGUCAGGGGGUGUUCAUCACACAUGUUCCUGGAAGAUCUGGCCUAGAGGCUGGCUACCCCUCAGCUCCUUGACCCUACAUGAGUACCUAAGCAAGAAGUUCCACCCUGUUUUCUCUCCCCAGAGCACCUGCCUGUCAUAGGAAUACGAGAGGUCCUGCGUAGCCAUAGAGGUGGUCUUGAAUCAGCUCAUUGAGUUACUUCAGCUAAGUGGCCUGAGGCGACCUCUGAAGUUUGGAUGUAGAAUCACUACUUGUCUAGGGGCUUCUGAGUUCAGUAAACUAAGAAUAGAGUAGUCCUUUUGGCAGUGAGUCACUUGGACCCCAAUCUAAGUUUGAAAACAAAGGGAGUAAAUUUUCUUUAUGUUCAAAACAUUCCACCACAUUAGUUAACUACUCAGAGUCGUUUUUCCAAUGUGGCAAUCAGGAGUCCAGGACAAGCCAUGUACGGUAAGCGGACCACUUGGCAAACUCUCAUAUGCAGAGUUCAUCCUCAGAACUGACACCCAAGUCAAGACUCAGAGCAUCGCCAACUGGCACCUUAAAAAUUGCUUGUGAUGGUUUCUAGUCAUUACCAUAGCCCAGGCCCCCUAGAGCAACCACUGUCCUGACUUCCAACACUCUGGAUCCAUUUUGCUGGCCUUUGAACUUUAUGCACAUGGGAUCAUAUAUUAUAUAUGUUUGUGACUGGUGUUUCUGCUCAACGUAACGUUUGGUAAUUCACUGAUGUUGCUGUGUGUAGUUGGAGUUCAUUGUCUCAUCGCUACAUGAUUUUCCAUUGUGUAAAGAUACCAUAAUUCAUCCAUGAAACUAUUGGAGGGCAUCAGGGGAGUCUCAGGAUUUUGGCUAUUAUGAAUAAUGUUUUUAUGAACCUUCUUUUUAAAAAGAA